CGUCAUCAGACUGUUCAAACUUUACAUGGAUUACUGGCGAGCCAUUGACUUGGAGUAACUGGGACCUGGCUGACGGACAACCAAGAGAUUGUUCCGAAAAAAAAUGUGCCAAGCUAACAUCUACAUUUUUCAGAACUGAAUUCUGCACUGGCGACCGAUAUGCACUCUGUGAAUAUGUGCCUACACCAACUGAGACCCCGGCAACCACCUUCGAGUCCCUGACAACCACCCUUGAGUCAACGACAAUAACCACUGAGCCUCAGACAGACACCCCUGAAUCAACCAUACCUGAGUCAACAACCAAAGCAAACACCACCCCUGAGUCGACGACAACACCUAUUCGAAAAGACAAACAUGGGUCCCAGACAGUCACUCCUGAGUCCUCAACAACACCCACUGAGUCCCGGAUAGCCACACAUGAGUCCUUGACAACCACUGAUGAAUCCCUGUCAAUUAUCACUGAAUCGACGACAACUACCAAUGAGGCAAUAACCGAAGGCAAGAUAAUUACUGAUUAUCGUUGACGCAUCAAAUCAUUGCAAUAUUAGACAAUUGCAAUUCAUAUACCUUUGCUUAUGUUUGAGUCAUUAGAAUCAUCGGCUCUAU